UGUGCUCUUUGUGGUGGCAAAAAAUUGGAAAAUGAGGGGGUUUCCCUCAAUUGGGGAAUGACUGAACAAAUUGUGGUAUCUGUUGGUGAUGGAAUACUAUUGUGCUCAAAGGAAUAAUAAAGUGGAGGAAUUCCAUGGAGACUGGAACAACCUCCAGGAAGUGAUGCAGAGUGAAAGGAGCAGAACCAGGAGAACACCGUACACAGAAAUAGCUACAUUGUUCAUUUGACUUCACGCGGUGAAAACAGUGACACGUGGACUUCGAAGUUCCUCCAGAUCAGAAAAACUUCUCUCUUAUCUGAAUAUGCAGGAGAGAAAUCUGGAGAGUCCAGAAAAGAUACCUGAAAGAGAUCUGAGUCUGGUCCUGGAGGGAAAAAGUUAAACAAAGGCAGGGUAUCUUCCAUCACCUUCCUUUUGUCACCUAACUUUGAACCUCAUAAACUUAUGUCAAAAAAACAUUUGUUGUAAGCUUUUGUUUUUUCUUUGAUUCAUUUACAUUUAAAUAAACCCUUUAGGCUGGUC
rnacentral:lncRNA from 1 species